GCCAUUAACCCAGGCGUCCAAACCUACCCACCUCCCGCCCGCCAGAGAACUACAAGCAAAAGCUUAAAACUCAAAGGACUUGACGGUGUCUCAAAUCAACCUAGAGGAGCCUGUCCUAUAAUCGAUACUCCACGCUAAACCUAACCCCCUCUUGCAAACUUCUGCCUAUAUACCGCCGUCGCCAGUCCACCUAAUGAUAGUCUUCAAGUGGACAAACAAACAACCAUUUUUACGUCAGGUCAAGGUGUAGCUCAUGGGGGGGGCAAGCGAUGGGCUACAUUUUCUGUAACAGAAAAUUACCAAAAACAACAUGAAAUACAAGUUGUAAGGCGGAUUUAGCAGUAAAAAUGUUCAAGGCAUGUCAAUUUGAAGCCCGCUCUGGGAC
rnacentral:rRNA from 1 species